rnacentral:rRNA from 1 species
AACGAACGCUGGCGGCGUGCUUAACACAUGCAAGUCGAACGCGAAAGGGACUUCGGUCCUGAGUAAAGUGGCGCACGGGUGAGUAACGCGUAGAUAACCUGUCUUCAUGUCUGGAAUAAUACGCCGAAAGGGGUACUAAUACCGGAUAUUCUUGCUUUUCAUAAGUUAUGCAAGCAAAGGUGGCCUCUGCAUAUGCUACUGCAUGAAGAGGGGUCUGCGUACCAUUAGCUAGUAGGUGGGGUAAUGGCCUACCUAGGCGACGAUGGUUAGCGGGUCUGAGAGGAUGAUCCGCCACACUGGCACUGGAACACGGGCCAGACUCCUACGGGAGGCAGCAGUGAGGAAUAUUGCGCAAUGGGGGAAACCCUGACGCAGCGACGCCGCGUGAGUGAGGAAAGGCCUUCGGGUCGUAAAGCUCUGUCAAGAGGGAAGAAGUGUACAAUGGCUAAUACCUGUUGUAUUUGACGGUACCUCUAAAGGAAGCACCGGCUAACUCCGUGCCAGCAGCAGC